GCCCCGAGGUGUAACAGGCUGCACAUCUGACUCUGGAUCAGAAGGUACCGGGUUCGAGACCCGGCGGGGCG
rnacentral:tRNA from 1 species